rnacentral:rRNA from 1 species
UAGGGAAUCUUCGGCAAUGGGGGGAACCCUGACCGAGCAACGCCGCGUGAGUGAAGAAGGUUUUCGGAUCGUAAAGCUCUGUUGUUAAGGAAGAACGAGUGUGAGAAUGGAAAGUUCAUACUGUGACGGUACUUAACCAGAAAGGGACGGCUAACUACGUGCCAGCAGCCGCGGUAAUACGUAGGUCCCGAGCGUUGUCCGGAUUUAUUGGGCGUAAAGCGAGCGCAGGCGGUUAGAUAAGUCUGAAGUUAAAGGCAGUGGCUCAACCAUUGUAGGCUUUGGAAACUGUGUAACUUGAGAGCAGAAGGGGAGAGUGGAAUUCCAUGUGUAGCGGUGAAAUGCGUGGAUAUAUGGAGGAACACCGGUGGCGAAAGCGGCUCUCUGGUCUGUAACUGACGCUGAGGCUCGAAAGCGUGGGGAGCGAACAGG